rnacentral:lncRNA from 1 species
CACAGUUCCUCUUCUUGGCUUCUCCUCAUUUUAUAUUCUUACCCACACUUCUUUCCCAGAAAGCACAUGCCUCAGAAGGAGAAAGUCCAAAGAAAACCCUUGAUAUUUAUUUGAUCUGAAGAGUAUUUUAGUGAAAAUGACAUUGGCCUUCAGACAGAGAUGCUGAGAGACUCAGUUGAGGUGAGGACCCCAGCCCAGGCUGCAAGGUGCUACCUUCUGCCUGCUUCACAUCAAAUGCAUCUAUAUUUCUGGGUGCAUCACAGAGAACACCACUGCUCUCCAGUGUCCUCACUUUGGAACUCUCAACUGAACUUCUGGGUUGCACCUCCAGCUCUCUUCACUUUCUGUGAUUUGGGACUGUUCUGUCUGUACAAAUGCAAAUCAUGAGACUCCCCUUGGGGGAGAAGAGAGAGUCAGAGAGUCAGACUGUCAUGCCCAGAGAGUGGCUGGCUCCUACCCCCGGAAAUGGGCCUCUUACUGUGACUGCCCUGGGGCCAGCCGAACAGCUGCGUUGGCCGAGCAGGAAGUGGUGAACAGGCUGGACCCUGUUCCAGCACGUUGUGGGGGAAAGAAAGAAAAAAGAAAAAAAAAGUUCCAUCAGAGAAACUGCACGCUAGCUUAGGCCAAGGCUGAUCACUGACCUCCUGUGUGGUACAAUCGAUCUGGACCAACCACUUCCCCCUUAUUCUUCCCCGUAUGGGAAAGUCGGUGCAGGUGCGCAGGGCCACACAAAGCAGCUUGGGAGAUAGCAGCCCAGGAAAAAUAAUUCCACCUGUAAACACCUGUGUUAACAAGU